CCCACUUUGUUGUUUUGCCUUCCUACCCUGUGAGAGCAAGCUGUUUGUCACUCUCUAGUGAUAAAUGCCGUCUGAAGUGAGGUCUGGUUCUCCUGGUCAAAGCCCACGGACCUCUGAGGAGAGGAGGCAGCCUUCACUAGCCGGGGAUGCAUUCUUUUAAGAUGAAAUGGAUUUGAAUCCUGCAAGGUUGAAGUUCAGUGUGGCAUGUCUGAAAUCGCUGAUAUUUGUACUCAGGCACAGGCUGCAAAACAGAGAAAAACAAAAUCAGCGAGACCUGCCUGUCGGCUGUCGCUUCAGCAUCUUCAGUGUGCAGCUGGGGGUUUCCUUCCCACAUGACCCUACACCCCUUCCAAACGGGCCUAUCUGUAGACGAACUUCUCCCGCAGAGAAAAGAAGGCUUUCCCCAAGCACUGGGGGAGCCAGUGAGGCCCCGAGGCUGCAGAGCUGCAGGCGAUGGUGCCCCGUGGAUGUGUGGAGAGGCACCGAAGGGUCCAAGUCCUACAAACACUCGCUUAGAGACCCCGUGGCCCGGGUUCUCUGGGAGCGCAGUGUUGAGAGGCGCCGUCUUCCGGAUGGGGACGCACCAAGGGGAUGGGAAGUGGAAUCUGCCCUCAUACGUCCAGGGGCCCCUCUGGAUGUGGUACCCAGGACCAGCCACAGUGAUGAGAAUUCCCGGAUGCCCACGCUUACCACCAGCUUUUACCAGGAGGCUUUGGAGUUUCAGGACUGCCUAGGUCACCUUUGGAGUUCAGAGCAGGGAUGGCCAUACACGAGUUCAGGGCGGCUCUAUCCGCCGACAUCUCCCUUGUGUGUUCCCGUGAGGCUGGAGGAGGCUGCAGGAACGCAGAAGUCUACCGCCAGCUUUCCAGCAGGACACGGUCUACUGCUAACUGAGAGAGACAGGGAGCGAGAGGCCAGGACGGAAUUACAUCCUGCUCGGACGCUACCUCCCGGCAGUCUCUGA
rnacentral:lncRNA from 1 species